GGUUUUAUUAGAUCUAGUGGCUAGGAUAUUUGGCUUUCACUUAGGAGGCCCUAGUUCGAUUCUCGGCGUAGGAUUU